UACAGAGACUGCGAGCGUUAUUCGGAUUCACUGGGCGUAAAGGGCUCGUAGGCGGCCAACUAAGUCGGAUGUGAAAUCCCCAGGCUUAACCUGGGAACUGCAUCCGAUACUGGAUGGCUUGAAUUCGGGAGAGGGAUGCAGAAUUCCAGGUGUAGCGGUGAAAUGCGUAGAUAUCUGGAGGAAUACCGGUGGCGAAGGCGGCAUCCUGGACCGACAUUGACGCUGAGUGAGCGAAAGCUAGGGGAGCAAACGGG
rnacentral:rRNA from 1 species